UCCAAUGAAGCAUGGCUGAAAUAACACAGUCUCCUUGUUGCAGGUUUUGGGAACGCAGCGUCAGCUAGACCCUGGGGCCCUGUGGCUUCCGUCCUCUCCUGGAGAGGCUGUCACUGGAGAAAGAACCUGGCAGCCAGCAGUAAACUCUGAC
rnacentral:lncRNA from 1 species